rnacentral:lncRNA from 1 species
CUCAGAGGAGAGACAGGCAAACCCACAGGAGUAGAGGCUCAGAGGAGAGACAGGCAAACCCACAGUAGUAGAGGCUCAGAGAGACAGGCAAACCCACAGUAGUAGAGGCUCAGAGGAGAGACAGGCAAACCCACAGUAGUAGAGGCUCAGAGGAGAGACAGGCAAACCCACAGCAGUAGAGGCUCAGAGGAGAGACAGGCAAACCCACAGCUUGGUGGUUACAGAUCUGUGUGUCUACUCCUUACCUGGUGGAACUCUGGGAUACCUUCAGGACUGCAGGUGGGCUGGGUCUUCUGUCCAGGUGAGUUGGGUCUUCUGUCCAGGUGAGCUGGGUCUUCUGUCCAGGUGAGCUGGGUCUUCUGUCCAGGUGAGCUGGGUCUUCUGUCCAGGUGAGUUGUGUCUGCUCUGGGGCGUGGUUCUGUCUGUCCAGGUGAGUUGUGUCUGCUCUGGGGCGUGGUUCUGUCUGUCCAGGUGAGUUGUGUCUGCUCUGGGGCGUGGUUCUGUCUGUCCAGGUGAGCUGUGUCUGCUCUGGGGCGUGGUUCUGUCUGUCCUGCAGGUGAGUUGUAUCUGCUCUGGGGCGUGGUUCUGUCUGUCCAGGUGAGUUGUAUCUGCUCUGGGGCGUGGUUCUGUCUGUCCUGCAGGUGAGUUGUAUCUGCUCUGGGGCGUGGUUCUGUCUGUCCUGCAGGUGAGUUGUGUCUGCUCUGGGGCGUGGUUCUGUCUGUCCAGGUGAGCUGUGUCUGCUCUGGGGCGUGGUUCUGUCUGUCCUGCAGGUGAGUUGUAUCUGCUCUGGGGCGUGGUUCUGUCUGUCCAGGUGAGUUGUAUCUGCUCUGGGGCGUGGUUCUGUCUGUCCUGCAGGUGAGUCUGAUGGGUCAGGUAAGUGAUGUCCUCCCACAGCCACAGGUGAGCUCACCUGGAUGUUACAGACAACAGCACC